rnacentral:lncRNA from 1 species
CCUCUACAGUCGUUGACCCUAGUCCGGCAUCUUCGUAAGUCAGGAACUCCCCCUUUACCUUCUCCAGUUCUUCAGCUUCCUUCUCUUCCAGGUCCCACGCGUCCACAUGUACGUUCUCCUGGUGGUCUUCGACAUAUUGACUGAUCUGUGACAUCUGGACUUCGGAUAUUUUGGCAUCGCUUGUCGAACUUGGAUACGGACCGAGGACUGUGGGAGCCAACUCGAACGACCUCCAAAAAUCGACCCCCAAGUACAUGACUUGCUCCAGGUAUGGACAGAUGUAAAAGAGAAUGUCCUUGCUGAUUCCGUUGUACUCCACAGGGAUUCUCGCCUUGCCGAUUAUGGUCCUGUCCUCUCCUGCGGCGGUUUUGACGAUCGAGAUAUAGUUGUCCAUCUCCACUCCGAGGUCGUCUAGGAGCUCACGACUGCCCUUUCCGAGGACACUUACGGAUGCCCCAGUAUCCAGGAGUCCGGAAAUCUUCCGUCCUAGGAUUUGCACCUCGGCAAAAACCCUUGGGUCACGUCCUGCUCCACGCCUGACUGCUUCCGCCACCUCCUUGCGAGUCUGUCUCCUUUGCCGGAAGCGUGCACGGGCCCUCUGGAGUCUACGGCUGACACCUCGCAUUCCAUUCAGCUGAUGUCCGUNUACCGUCGUCCUAUUGCUCCACGGACUAUCGCUAACCUCUAUCACUCCUAGUUCCAGCAUCUUGUCCACUUCGGUCCAGACCACUUCCUGCAUCGCUGGGGAUUGAGGGUAGUGUCGAUCCUUAAACGGCUCCGCGCCCUCUACCAACUGGAUCCGAUGCUCCUCUACAGUCGUUGACCCUAGUCCGGCAUCUUCGUAAGUCAGGAACUCCCCCUUUACCUUCUCCAGUUCUUCAGCUUCCUUCUCUUCCAGGUCCCACGCGUCCACAUGUACGUUCUCCUGGUGGUCUUCGACAUAUUGGCUGAUCUGUGACAUCUGGACUUCGGAUAUUUUGGCAUCGCUUGUCGAACUUGGAUACGGACCGAGGACUGUGGGAGCCAACUCGAACGACCUCCAAAAAUCGACCCCCAAGUACAUGACUUGCUCCAGGUAUGGACAGAUGUAAAAGAGAAUGUCCUUGCUGAUUCCGUU